ACUUAAAUUGAAGAGUUUGAUCAUGGCUCAGAUUGAACGCUGGCGGCAGGCCUAACACAUGCAAGUCGAGCGGUAGCACAGAGAGCUUGCUCUCGGGUGACGAGCGGCGGACGGGUGAGUAAUGUCGUGGG
rnacentral:rRNA from 1 species